rnacentral:lncRNA from 1 species
GUUCCCUCAGGACCUACACUUUUACUGAAAACCGGAAGCUUUCUUAACUUGCUGCUAACAACCAUUCCCUGAUACAAGGAGCCCAGCAUGGCAGCCUCUGGAAUACAGAAAAGGGUUAAAGGAUAACAGAAAAUACUGAGGAAUAACGUACAGAGGAAAGUGGAGAUGGAUAUCAUGGCAUACAUCUACAACCUUAAGGUCCUAUCUCUAUUUCUGUUCUUACUGCUGUCCUUUCAGAUGUGCUCUUAGUAUGGAUUGCAACUGCAAUAUAAACAGACAAACGUUUGAUUAUCUGGCCAAAUGCUACUCCUGAUCACCUCAGAAAAAGACUUCUCCUGAGUAACUACUACUAUCAACAAUCAGAGGACCUAGCAGAAUGCAGUUUACAAGCCAGAAUUUCCAAGACCAGUCAACAGGCCGAGAAGGUGUUGAGAACAAUGCACAGCAAGAAAUACUCUACUUCAGAUCUGGAAAAUUUGCCUCUGUAGUAGUCAAAAGAUUGAAUUUCACAUGGAAAGAGAGUAAAGCAGGACCUUCCUCUGGCCUCACACUCACCAGAGUCAUCGUCAUUCUUGCAUUUGCUGAAGCUGCUCCUCGCUUGUUGACUACCUGGAAGCCCUGUGGUCUCCGCUCUCUACCCAGUGUCAUCAGGCACAGGGCAGGCUCCCAGUCCCAGGGGUCCAGCCACACCUUGGCAGGACUCAGAGCACUCCAAGAAGCAGACUGCAGGGUGUCUACAGUUGAGGAGGUUCAGAAGGGGGUCCAGCAUGGUCAGAGUCUGCAGCAAAGCAAAGACAAGAUGGUACUUCCAAUACAGCUUAACUCUCCUUGCUGUAAUCUGAAAGGGCCAGAUAAUGAUCUUUAUGAUAUCUUCAAACUCUAA